rnacentral:rRNA from 1 species
UACGUAGGGGGCAAGCGUUGUCCGGAUUUAUUGGGCGUAAAGAGCUCGUAGGCGGUUCGGCAAGUCGGGUGUGAAAAAUCUGGGCUCAACCCAGUGGAGCACCCGAUACUGCUGUGACUAGAGUCCGGUAGGGGAGUGUGGAAUUCCUGGUGUAGCGGUGAAAUGCGCAGAUAUCAGGAGGAACACCGGUGGCGAAGGCGGGUCUCUGGGCAGUAACUGACGCUGAGGAGCGAAAGCGUGGGGAGCGAACAGG